rnacentral:rRNA from 1 species
UACGAAGGGUGCGAGCGUUGUCCGGAAUUAUUGGGCGUAAAGGGUGCGUAGGUGGCGCCGUAAGUCAGGUGUGAAAUCUCGGGGCUUAACUCCGAAACUGCAUUUGAUACUGCGGUGCUUGAGGACUGGAGAGGAGACUGGAAUUUACGGUGUAGCAGUGAAAUGCGUAGAGAUCGUAAGGAAGACCAGUGGCGAAGGCGAGUCUCUGGACAGUCACUGACGCUGAGGCACGAAGGCCAGGGGAGCAAACAGG